rnacentral:lncRNA from 7 species
GCAGUGCAAGAAGUUACCCCCCUCCAAACUGAAAUUAGGGUACUUCUGAGUUGUGGAAGGGCAUUAUCUGUUGGCAGACCUGUGUGUGUGUCAGGAAAACCUUCCUAGCAGUGUGAGCUUUCAGGGAAAUGAGGCUUUCCCAGCUGGCAAUCACAGCAUUGCUCGUGCCUGACAAACUGGCAACGUGUGAGUAAUUAUCUAAUUAACCUCCACUCAGCAGAGGCAGAAGUGACACAUCCCUCCCCCUUUACUACAACUGCCCAUUUCCCAGUGGAUUUCAGUAAAUUAGGAGGGAAAAAAAGAGGAAUACCCUCCCAAGCAGGGAACCAGACAUUGCAACAGCAGUGACGUACCCUGAUCGUACCGAAAGGGGCCGAAGCAGAGAGUAAUGAGGCUUUAUGGUCUGAGGGGACACUGAUGGCCUUAUCAAGGUGGUAGCAACGUGUCAGUGGAAGAGAAGUGACUGCCAGGCCCCGGCCAUGCAAGCGGGUCUGAUGGAGGAGAUGAUGGAUGUGAGCUGGAGAGCAGUGCUGAGAAAAGUGAUCCAAUACGGAUAGGAGCAACCAGCCUUGGGUUGGCCAAAGUCAACCUGGGGUUGGCCAAAGCCACCGUAAGCAGGUAAGUGUCAGCCCUGCGGAGGACCAGGACAGCCCACAUCUCAGGCACGUUAGAGAAAGAAGAUCCAUUGGAAUUGGAGAGAUGCUGAGUGUGAGGACAGCACGAUUGUCAAAGGAGAAGAUGGCUUUUAUGUGAGAGAUGGGUAACGGAGGACAUUCGUGGGCUGGAUGGACCAUGGGCAGAGGGAGAUGUGUGUGGGGCUCAGGGAAACUUCGGCAGCUUCUUUCCUCCUCUUUUUCUCCCCUAUAGGAAUACGUUAAACGUGGAAAGCAGAAGGAAUAAAAGAUCCAGAAGGUUCUUAGGCACAAAGAUGAUACCACAGCGUUGUGUCAGCAGAAUCACGGAACAAAUCAGGCUGGAGCAGGCUGUGUUUGGCCUGACGUGACGCGUGGGAAGCUCCGGGUGGGAGGAAGAGGUCUCUGCUCCCAUUCCCUGCUCAGAGCAAGGCUAUCUGCUGUGCAGGGGACACGUGAGUGUGCAGUGAGAGAUCUUAAUGAGAUUGCAAACAGCAGCGCUUUCCGGCUCCGGUGAUGCUCAUUAUCACUCAGUGCAGUGCCUUGCUAUAAUUAAAGCGCGCCUUCCACGUUGUGAUUAAUUUCUUUUCUAAUUAAGUGAGCUACGUGGUUGCAGCUUGUUAUUUGUGGGUAAUUAGCAACUUUUCCUUCCUUUGUGUAUUUAAUAUGCCGUAUUUAUGUUUGCGCUGUGUUCCAAUGGCCCCACAAGCGCUCCAUGAACCACACGAAGGAUCCUGGUGGGUCCCAUUGCAAAGAAGAGCUCCUGAAGGUUGGAACCCGAUGACCUCUGAGGUCCCCCUUCCAACCCAAGCUAUUCUAUGGGUCUGUGAUUUCCGGAUGCAGGAGAUUCUACUUCUGGGUUUCUCCUGAACCACCACUGUUUUUGGAGCGAAAAGACCCCACAGAGCCCUCAGCUUUGAAGCCAUACCAUUCUGGAUGGAUGAGUACAGCAGCCUCAGAAGGGAUCACUCCAUGGUGGGCUCUCAGGCUGCCCAGAAAUACAGCGGGGACAACAGAACACUCACAGAGAAAGGGACAGGAGACAUCUCCAGUCAAUCUUGCCCAAAGCAAGACCCAGUUUGAAGCGAGAUCCCAUUGCCAUCAAGGCCAACUCCUUCAGAGGCUGAGCCAAGCCUGCAGGCUGGAGGAGAUCACGUAGCCCAAGCCGAUGCCAGCUGGUGCUGUGCUGGUUUAACUGGGAGAACUGUCUAUGGAACAGCUGGUCCAGGAAGGCUACAAAACUCUCCAUACUGAGAGCGCUCCGAGGAGGAGGAGCUGCGAUGCUUUUCCGUUUGAAGGAGUGCUCAGCAAUGAGUGAGGAGAUCAGUGGAAACAGCAGCAAAAUUGUUUGAAGUCCUCCAAGUUUGUAUAUAUGAAUAUGGCUG